rnacentral:rRNA from 1 species
AGAAUCAACGCUGGCGGCGUGCCUAACACAUGCAAGUCGAACGCGAAAGGGGAGCAAUCCCUGAGUAGAGUGGCAAACGGGUGAGUAACACGUGGGUGACCUGCCUCAGAGUGGGGGAUAACGUCCCGAAAGGGACGCUAAUACCGCAUAACAUCCUGCCUUUGGAAAGGCGGAGAUCAAAGCCGGGGAUCGCAAGACCUGGCGCUUGGAGAGGGGCCCGCGUCUGAUUAGCUAGUUGGUAGGGUAAUGGCCUACCAAGGCAACGAUCAGU